rnacentral:lncRNA from 1 species
GGGCUCUGCUGGCAGAAAGGGGGUCCAUCCUAGGCAUGGGUACUGACACAGGUGACAGCAUCUGCAUACCAGCCAGCUUCUGUGGUGUUUAUGGCCUCUGGACCACAGGUUCCCGCCUCAGCUACACUGGAAUUGCCUCUGCCAUCAAGGGGAAAAAAAUCGGUGACCACGGUGGCUGGCCCCAUGGCCCAGGACGUGGAGAGCCUGGCGCUGUGCCUGCAAGCCCUGCUGAGUGAAGACAUGUACCGACUGGACCCCACUGUGCUCCAGAUGCCCUUUAGGGAGGAGGUGAAGACCCCCUUUCCCACCCCAGGCUGCAGUGAGUGAGAAGCCCACAUGCUCAGUCCAGUUUGUUUCCUUCCCCUGCUGGACACCAGCUGCUUUGGCUUCUUGGCUAUCUGGAGCCAUAGCUUGUAAGUGCCCCCAAAGAGGGCCUCCAGUGCCAUAUACCCAACCCAUGCAGUUAGAAUACUCAGCAAGUGUGGUUGAGAGGGUGUGGCAUCCAGUUAAGCUGGGUUUUUAACCCUCUAGGUAACCCUGGCCAAGUCACAUCUCUUCUUUCAGCCUUAGCCUCCCCAUCAAUACAAUAAAGAGGUUAGGCUGGGAGAUUACUCCACA